GAUGUUCGUCACACAUCCUAGUAGGAUCGGUCCUGGAGGAGGCAUGCUGGGUGUUGCUGUGUAGAUACGGUUGACCAUGACAUGGCUAGUGUUGUUUGCCCAGUAGGGUGCUCUUUAAAUUGGCGAUGGUGUGGUUUUCUGGAAGGGUUGUAUUGCGGAGAAGGGUUGGGAACGUUUUUCCGCAGAAGUGUUAUGUCUAGGCCUUUUCCUGAGCUCUUCAGUGGACUGAUAUUUGAUAUGUGGAUAAUAGUCGUUUAUGAGCUUGUGUAGUCAAAACUGGAAAGUUGAUUCUCAUUAUACUACAGUUUGCUUCGCUUUAAAAUUAGCUGUGAAAGGAACAGAGCUCUUCUAUUGCUGAAAGCAAGUAGCAAUAACACCUCAAACUCAUAGUCAACAGUAUAAAACAGUUAUGAGUAGGAGAGAGUUUCAAAAGGAGGAUGUGGAAUCCUUAAAAAAUUUUUUUUAAAAAGGUUGUCAAAUCGUCGGUGGAAUGAAAUGCAUGAGGAAGAUGAUGAGCAAUGCAAACAGUCUUUGAUUAAUCCACAAGAGGGUAAUUCCAGGAAACACACGUAUGGACUUUAGUAGACUCCAUUGGCAAUGUGAACAAGCUGAUCUUUUUCAGACCUUUAAUAUGAGCAAGCUUUGAGCAGCCAACCAAGAGAUGAACUACGAACCUCAACUAUGCUAUCUUGUUAUAGAUGAGUCUCCUCUUCCUCAUUCCACUCACAACCUUUUUGUUUUCAUUUAUACAGCGCAGUGGAGCAGAACUGGAACAAAGCCUUUUUGUGCUAAGAAACUUCUUGAACAUCCAUUAUUAAACGGCACGAGAGGGCCAUGGGUCUCGAUCUGCUCAGAGGAGACCAUCGAGACAUGCAAGACCACGUUUGAUCAUGAAAGAGAAGCUUCCAGAGAAAUCCAUACUGGAUGUACAGGGCACAAGGUUACAAGAUUAGAGAAACACUGA
ensembl:lncRNA